rnacentral:rRNA from 1 species
UUAGAGUUUGAUCCUGGCUCAGGACGAACGCUGGCGGCGUGCCUAGUACAUGCAAGUCGAACGAGGCUUUUUGAUUGAUGCUUGCAUCAGCUAAAAAGCCGAGUGGCGAAUGGGUGAGUAACACGUGGGUAACCUGCCUUGAAGCGGGGGAUAACAUUUGGAAACAGAUGCUAAUACCGCAUAACCACAAAAACCUCCUGGUUUUUGUGUCAAAGAUGGUUCUGCUAUCACUUCAAGAUGGACCCGCGGCGUAUUAGCUUGUUGGUGAGGUAACGGCUCACCAAGGCAAUGAUACGUAGCCGAACUGAGAGGUUGAUCGGCCACAUUGGGACUGAGACACGGCCCAAACUCCUACGGGAGGCAGCAGUAGGGAAUCUUCCACAAUGGACGCAAGUCUGAUGGAGCAACGCCGCGUGAGUGAAGAAGGUCUUCGGAUCGUAAAACUCUGUUGUCAGAGAAGAACGUGCGUGAGAGCAACUGUUCAUGCAGUGACGGUAUCUGACCAGGAAGUCACGGCUAACUACGUGCCAGCAGCCGCGGUAAUACGUAGGUGGCAAGCGUUGUCCGGAUUUAUUGGGCGUAAAGGGAACGCAGGCGGUCUUUUAAGUCUGAUGUGAAAGCCUUCGGCUUAACCGAAGUCGUGCAUUGGAAACUGGGGGACUUGAGUGCAGAAGAGGAGAGUGGAACUCCAUGUGUAGCGGUGAAAUGCGUAGAUAUAUGGAAGAACACCAGUGGCGAAAGCGGCUCUCUGGUCUGUAACUGACGCUGAGGUUCGAAAGCGUGGGUAGCAAACAGGAUUAGAUACCCUGGUAGUCCACGCCGUAAACGAUGAAUGCUAAGUGUUGGAGGGUUUCCGCCCUUCAGUGCCGCAGCUAACGCAUUAAGCAUUCCGCCUGGGGAGUACGAUCGCAAGAUUGAACUCAAAAGGAAUUGACGGGGGCCCGCACAAGCGGUAGAGCAUGUGGUUUAAUUCGAAGCAACGCGUAGAACCUUACCAGGUCUUGACAUCUUUUGCCAGGCUGAGAGAUCAGCUGUUCCCUUCGGGGACAAAAUGAC